UUGGGUUGGCCAGAAAGUUUGUUUGGGUUUUUCUGUAACAUCUUACAGAACUUACGAACUUUUUGGCCAACCCAAU
rnacentral:miRNA from 1 species